CAGUCAUCCGCACGCGCUAUGGAAUACGCUCCCAUUCGGAUUGGGAUUAGGAAGACACACGCGCCAACAACAGCUCAUAAAGCUGUUAUUACAACAAUAUGGAGAAACACCGGAUGAUCCCAAUGCAGGUGGACCCUACAAUCAUUUAACGACUGACUUGUCAACAGACCUGUCCUCACACCUUCGCAUCUAGUGGAAUGGCUUGAAAACGCAGGUUGAUCAGUCACACAGGGAUGGAGAUGGAGCGCAUUGUGGUGGGGAGAACCAAACGCCCGCCGCAUGAAGCUGAUACAACAUGAGGACAAGCGUGCCUGCAGGGGACUGACGCUCCACAGAGGAGAAGAGAGGAGAAGAGAAGAGAAGAGAGGAGAGGAGAGGAGAGGAAAGAGGCGCCUUCUGGUCCCAUUUACAGAGCACACUGAAGGCUGCGUGUGGCGAAAACAUGGUCAUGUGACCAUAAUCAUCCCAGCUUGGCGUCUCCAACACACGAGGACGUCUAACGUGACGAACACCAGGCUCACUGCAUUUUGUGUCAAGUCUUCAAUGGAAUGGCAGGAUUCUUUUAUAUUAUUAUUAUUUUAAAGAAAAUGCUUUCUGGUUGUACAAAUCAGGGAAAACAAAUGUUGUCUUCUGUGAAAUCUGUUAAAUCUGUGAAUAAAGAAUAAAGACGACUACU